rfam:Myotis brandtii contig153900, whole genome shotgun sequence.
CUCGGGGUGGGGGUGGGGUCCCUCAGCCCAGAUUGCAAGAGGGAGCAGGCCAGGCUGAGGGACCCCACCGGUGAACG